rnacentral:rRNA from 1 species
UACGUAGGGCCCGAGCGUUAUCCGGUAUUAUUGGGCGUAAAGAGUGCGUAGGCGGUUCGGUAAGACAAUGGUUAAAAUUCCCGGGCUCAACCCGGGGCCAGCCGUUGUUACUGCCAAACUAGUCGAUAGCAGGGGCAAGCAGAAUUCUCGGUGUAGGAGUGAAAUCCGUUGAGAUCGAGAGGAAUACCAAUGGCGAAGGCAGCUUGCUAGGCUAUAUGAGACGCUGAGGCACGAAAGCGUGGGGAGCGAACGGG